CCGCCGACCCGCUUCUCGAAACACGCGGCCCCAUGCUCCGCGCGUGGGAGCGCCGUCUUGGACCGUCCGACCUCCAUCCGACGCUCCCCCGCGCGCGCGCGUGCCCUGCUCCGUGCCUCCGUCGUCCUCGGCCCCUCUCUCCUUCUCUGGUCCUUGGCCCUUCCUCUCUCUCCUCCCCAGCUCAACGAAACGCAAGGCCUCGCGGCGGAAAUACUUAUAGACUAGUAUACUAGACGCUCACGAGUCUUAGCACAGUCGCAUCACUGCCAAUCCAUUGCUCUCGCCUAGUACACGACCAAUCGAUGAUGGCCUUGGAACCCUAGGAGCGGCCGCGCGGCUCAGCUUCGCCAUGGGCUCCCUCGACAAGGGAGGAGCGGCGGCGGCGGCGGGGAGGUACAAGCGCGUUCCGGGCCCAGCGCUGCGGGCUGGCUUCGUCGGCGGCGCGCGGAAGGUGCGGGCGAGAUCCAGGCUCGCGCGCUUCCUGCUGUCCGAGAAGGUGGACUAUCUCCAGUGGAUAGUCGGCGCCACCGCCUUCUUCUUCGUCGUCAUCGUCUUCGUCGCGUUUCUCCCGGAGUUGGGCGUCUUCGAGCGGCCCAGGCUGACGCUCCCUUCGCGCCGCGCGGGAGAGGGACGCGUCGGAGGCGGAGGCGGGAUUGAGGGCCGCAGCGGCCUCGUCAUGUGGGAGGCGGGCGUGGCGUCCCAGUUCCAGCCGACCAGGCUGAGGGAGAAAUGGGCGAGUGAGCGGAGGGAGGAGGCCAAGAGCUUGGCGGAGCUCGGGACGCCCGUAACGAGGCUCGGGGCACGGAAGCCGCGGCUUGCCAUGGUGUUCGGUGACCUGUAUCCCAGCGCAAUGCAGCUUCAGAUGGUCAGCGUCGCUUCGGUUCUGGAGGCCAUGGGCUACGAAAUGAAGGUUUUCUCACUUGAGGAUGGCCCAUGUGGAAAUAUCUGGAGAGCCAUUGGAGUACCAGUGAGCAUACUACCUGAGGACACAAACUUACCUAUUUCAGUAGAUUGGUUAGACUAUGAUGGCAUACUUGUUAAUUCUAUUGAGGCAAGACCAGUAUUCUCAAGUCUUCUGCACGAGCCUUUCAAAUCCAUACCUGUAAUUUGGACUGUUCAUGAACAUUCUCUUGCCCAUCGUGCUAAAGAAUAUAAUGCAAGUGGAAUGAUUCAGCUCAUAAAUGCUUGGAAAGAUGUAUUCAGCAGGGCAAAUGUUAUAGUUUUCCCAAACUAUAUAUUACCGGUGAUGUAUGCUGCAUUUGAUUCUGGUAACUAUUUCGUGAUUCCAGGCCCCCCCUCAGAAGCAUUUAGUUACCAUGAAGAUGUGAGGAUCAGUUUGGGCUUGAGUCCCAAAGAUUUUUUGAUUGCUAUUGUUGGUACUCCGUUUUCAUAUGGUGAUAAUUUGAUGGAAGAGGCACUUGUCUUGCAAGCAGUAAGUCCUUUGUUACGGAGAUAUCACUCUGAGAAUAGCGCACAAUCUGAAUUGAAAGUAAAGAUCUUCACUGGGAACAUAACUGAGAAGCAUAGGAUGGCCCUUGAGUCUGUUGCUCUAAGUGUUGGCUUCCCAAGAGGUGCAGCGGAGCAUGUUGCUGCUGAAGAUAAGGACAUCCUCCUUCGUACAGCUGACCUUGUUAUAUAUUAUUCUUGUCUUGAGGAGCAAUUAUUCCCCAGUGUGCUAGUCGAAGCUAUGAGUCUUGAGAAGCUGGUUAUAGCUCCAGACCUUGGAAUUAUUAGAAAACAUAUCGAUGAUGGAGUAAACGGACUUCUUUUUCCAAGAAAGAAUGUUGGCAUGUUAGCUCAAGUUCUUCUUCAAGCAGUGUCGAACGGUAAAGUGUCUAUUUCAGGGCAAAAAAUUGCUUCAGCUGGGAAGGCCCAUGCCAAGAAUCUUAUGGCUUCUGAGACCAUUGAAGGCUAUGCUGUGCUAUUGGAAAAUGUUGUCAAGUUCCCCACUGAUGCAUUACACCCUUUAACUGUUGAUGAGAUACCUUUAGCUCUGAAAAAGGAGUGGAAAUGGCACCUAUUUGAGGAUGUGAAGCAUUUACACCAUAUGAAUACGAGUUUGUCUAGCUACAAGAUACUCAAGAAACUAGAGCAGGAGUGGCAUAGAAACCAAAUGGAGAACUCUUCUUUGAGUACAACAAAGAUCAGUGACACAUUCUCUGCAAUUGCCUGGGAAGAACAGAGAGCAAAUGAGGUUAUGGACAUCAAAAGAAAAAUGGAGGAAGACGAGUUGAAGGACAGGAAUGACCAACCUCAUGGAACAUGGGAGGAGGUGUACAGAAAUGUGAAAAGGGUAGAUAGGUUAAAAAAUGAAUUGCAUGAAAGAGAUGACAAGGAGCUUGAGCGGACAGGUCAGCCACUUUGUAUAUAUGAGCCUUUUUUCGGGGAGGGGACCUGGCCAUUUCUGCACCAGAGCUCUCUUUAUCGUGGAGUUGGCCUGUCUUCAAAAGGUCGAAGACCAGGAGCAGAUGAUAUUGAUGCUUCUUCUCGUCUUCCACUUCUCAACAAUGUUUACUACAGAGAUAUUCUUGGUGAAUUUGGAGCUUUCUUUGCUCUUGCCAACAGAAUUGACCGAAUACACAAAAAUUCUUGGAUAGGGUUUCAGUCCUGGAGAGGUACAGCAAGAAAGGCAAACUUAUCAAACAAUGCCGAAUUUGCAAUCUUAGAAGCUGUUCAAUCUCAAAAGCAUGGAGAUUCCUUCUAUUUUUGGGUUCGGAUGGAUCAAGAUCCAAGAAACCACACAUAUAAAGAUUUUUGGUCCUUCUGUGAUGCGAUCAAUGCUGGGAACUGCAGGUUAGCUGUUUUGGAGGCCUUCCAAAGGAUGUAUGGUGUACACCUUGAUCAUGACCUGGAUUCUCUGUUACAUAUGCCUAAUGAUGGAGACACAUGGUCUGUGAUGCAAAGUUGGGUUUUGCCUACACGGUCAUUCCUAGAAUUUGUUAUGUUUUCAAGCUGAGGAUAAGGUCAUUGGGGCUGUUCUGACACAAGAAACUGAGGAAAAGGAGCAUGUGGUGACAUAUCUAAGCCGAAGGUUGGUGGAUGCUGAAACAAGAAUGUUUGUUGAUGCACUGGAUGCACAAAUGUACGACAAACACCAUCAAACUGGGCAUUGCAUCUUGAGUCUUCACAAGGACCGGCACUGCUACUCUCGUGUCCUGGAGUUGAUUGUGAAUGUUUGGGCAUUCCACAGUGCACGACGGAUGGUCUAUGUUAAUCCUCAGACUGGUGCAAUGCAGGAGCAGCACCAUCUCAGUGGCAGGAGAGGUCAAAUGUCAGUGCAGUUUUUCUCCUACACCACUCUGAAGAGCAUGGACGAGGAGCUUGCAGAAGAGUUUGACUUGGAUCAUCCGGACAGGAGGUGGCUCUGGCCACAAACUGGAGAGGUCUUCUGGCAGGGUCUCUAUCAGAGGGAGCGGAUCAUGCGGCAGCAGGAGAAGGAGCGGCGGAAGCAGCAGAGCAGAGAGAAGAUCCAGAGAAUCAAGAAUAGAGCUCGGCAAAAGACGCUGGGAAAGUAUAUAAAGCCACCGCCUGAUGAUACAGGUGGCUCGAACGAUACAACAUCAGUAGAUUUGUAGCAUUUUGACCAUGAUGAUUCUUACCGUGGGGAAUUUGGUUCAUUAUUUGUAACGGCUGUCCUUGGUCCUCACUGAGAACCCCCGGACGGUUGUGAAUAUUUUGUCAGUUUUGUCGUGCCCUCUGGUGUCUGGGUGCUUUACAGGCGAUUUUGUAACAUAUCUAGGCCAUUGAGUUGUGAAGCUGCCAUCUUAGGUGUAAAUUUGGGUUUCCGUAGGGUUGUUUUUGUCCAUUUCGCUUAUGAGCUUCUCUAUAACAGACAGUUAACACUUAACAGCUGCUCCGCAUUUGCAGUCUCCUUGGUACAAAA